UACGUAGGGUGCAAGCGUUGUCCGGAAUUAUUGGGCGUAAAGAGCUCGUAGGCGGUUUGUUGCGUCGGCUGUGAAAUCCCGAGGCUCAACCUCGGGUCUGCAGUCGAUACGAGCAAACUAGAGUGUUGCAGGGGGAGACUGGAAUUCCUGGUGUAGCGGUGAAAUGCGCAGAUAUCAGGAGGAACACCGGUGGCGAAGGCGGGGUCUCUGGGCAACAACUGACGUGGAGGAGCGAAAGCGUGGGGAGCGAACAGG
rnacentral:rRNA from 1 species